rnacentral:lncRNA from 1 species
GAUUUCGUGUCAUGUUGUGAGUGCAACAUGUUCGACAGCUUUCCUGUGGAGGGAAUAUCUUCUACGAUGGGAUCUGCAGUCUAUUGGACAGUGCGGCUCACAACCGGAGCAGCUCUCCGGGUUUCAUUGGUUGUCUCAUAUGCCAAUCAUCUCUGGAUAUACCCCCAAAGACACACUCAGAACUGUGCUGUAUUCACUUGCUAGACAUCUCUCCAUCCAAUCAGGUUGACAGUUAGGACUAAUCGUUCCAGAUAAGUAAUUAAGGACAGUUGUCCUCUUUAGAGGACAUAUAUUCAUUUUCAAGUCUCAUGGCUUUACAAGCCAACAUUGUCUUAGCAUCUCCUUUUCAGAUACAUCUUUCACAGCACCCCAAAAGGUAUGCAAUAGGUUCUAGCUGAGUGCUUUUUGAUUCAUAACACACUUUAAAAAAUUUUAAUAAAGCCCUGAAUAGUAUUCAGGAUACAUACUUAAAAUGUCAAUACUUCCAGUCUCCACAACUCUCAUAUAUAUAUAUAUAUAUAUAUAUAUAUAUAUAUAUAUAUUACUACCACCAUUGUUACCAACUUUUAUAGGACUACGGAGGCACAGUGAUUGCCCAAGGUUGCAUGGCCAAGUGGUUAAAGAGUCAUGAUUUGCCAUUUCAGCGCCACAGUCCUUGAUGCUUACUGAUACUGAUAGUGGCUUUAAGCAUCAUUUGUGCCCAAUAUGCUUUAACUGUUGGUACUUAGGUGUUGAGUGGUGGUUUGCAACCUUCCUAAUGCUGCGACCCUUUAACAUAGUCCUUAUGCUGUGGUGACCGACUCCAAACCAAAAUGACAUAUUUUUGUUGCCUCUUCCUAAUUGUAAGUUUUCUACUGUUAUGAAUCACAAUGUAAACAUCUGACAUGGGACCCCUGUGAAAGGGCUGUUUAACACUCAAAGGGGCCGUAACCCACAGGUUGAGAGCUAGGGGUACAGAGCAAUGUUAGAGUCAUUUGGUGGGGAAGAAUGAAGGAGGAGGAGGUUGUGGGGAGAGAUGGCAGAAGGAAGACAGUUGAAGGCCAACACAUCUGUCUUUAUCCUACAACUCACACAGGUUCUUGGUUGCGUAUUAGAAUUAUUUCUCCCCACAUUUAAUUAAGGAUUCCUCAAAGCCAGCCCAAGAUAUUAAAAAAGCAGCAAUUAGAUGUCAUUGUCCUUGGUAGUUCAUCAUCUUGUACUCUGACAGGAAGGAGCAGAUGCUGUGUGAAGAUCACGCUGUCAUGGAUGUUGUGGAACAAUUUGGCUUUGAUGGAUGUCACUCCCUCACCGCUUCUCCGGGGAGACAACCUGAGACACUGCAGGGACCAAGGGAUCUCUUCUCAGUUGCAUCUUCAAUAUGGAUGUCCUGGCCCAAAGCAGAAACCCUCCCACUGGAUGCUCUGUUUGGGAUGAUUUUUGGAGUAGAUUUUUUUCUCUCUCUCAAAAUUAACUCCACAAUUGAGCACAGCAACAUUAUUUAUCUGAUCAUUUAAUGAAACUUGCCGACUAGCAUUUUUUUCCUCCUUUUGAGAUGAAGAGCCCGACAUUCAAUAGAAACACACCGACAUUGCUUCUUGUUCCGUCAAAGGGAGGAGCUCAGAGCGAGUCGUUUUGUGUGACAGAGGGGAAAUAUCCAAAAUUGGCAUUUUUGGGGGGAAGGGAUUUGAGCCGGGAGUUCUUUGGAUAACUUCUCCAAGAUUAGACAGUUUGGAAUUGGUGUAGUUACUGGGGGCCGGCAGAUUUGACUUCCAGGGCUGAGGAGAUGGCACAGGUAUAGAGUUUGAAAUGGAGGUGUGAAAACCAGAAUUCAGCCAUGUCAAAGCUGGGCAGGCCCAGCAGCCACCUAUAAUCCUAGCACUCUGGAGAAAGACACAAGGGAAUUCUAGGGAUACACUGAAAGGCUAGCCGAGUCAGAAUUGUUAAACUGUGGUUUUACUGAAAGACCCUGUCUUAAUAAACGAAGUCGAGAGUC